GAUGAACGCUAGCGGGAGGCUUAACACAUGCAAGUCGAGGGGUAUUGUAGCAAUACAUUAGACCGGCGCACGGGUGAGUAACGCGUAUGCAACCUGCCGUUAACCGGGGGAUAGCCCGUCGAAAGGCGGAUUAAUACCCCAUAAUAUUGGGAUUCUGCAUGGGAUUUCAAUUAAAGCUGAGGUGGUUAACGAUGGGCAUGCGUGACAUUAGCUAGUUGGUAGGGUAACGGCCUACCAAGGCUACGAUGUCUAGGGGUUCUGAGAGGAAGGUCCCCCACGCUGGUACUGAGACACGGACCAGGCUCCUACGGGAGGCAGGAGUGAGGGAUAUUAGUCAAUGGGCGAGAGCCUGAACCAGCCAGCCCGCGUGCAGGAAGACGGCCCUAUGGGUUGUAAACUGCUUUGUCGCAUGAAGAAUGUUACCGACGUGUCGGUAAGUGACGGUAAUGCGUGAAUAAGCAUCGGCUAACUCCGUGCCAGCAGCCGCGGUAAUAC
rnacentral:rRNA from 1 species